rnacentral:rRNA from 1 species
UAAUACGUAGGGUGCGAGCGUUAAUCGGAAUUACUGGGCGUAAAGCGUGCGCAGGCGGCGGCCCAAGUCAGGUGUGAAAUCCCCGGGCUUAACCUGGGAAUUGCGCUUGAAACUAGGUCGCUAGAGUGUGGCAGAGGGGGGUGGAAUUCCACGUGUAGCAGUGAAAUGCGUAGAGAUGUGGAGGAACACCGAUGGCGAAGGCAGCCCCCUGGGUCAACACUGACGCUCAGGCACGAAAGCGUGGGGAGCAAACAGGAUUAGAUACCCUGGUAGUCCACGCCCUAAACGAUGCGAACUAGGUGUUGGGGAAGGAGACUUCCUUAGUACCGCAGCUAACGCGUGAAGUUCGCCGCCUGGGGAGUACGGUCGCAAGAUU